rnacentral:rRNA from 1 species
GUAGGUGGCAAGCGUUGUCCGGAAUUAUUGGGCGUAAAGCGCGCGCAGGUGGUUCUUUAAGUCUGAUGUGAAAGCCCCCGGCUCAACCGGGGAGGGUCAUUGGAAACUGGGGAACUUGAGUGCAGGAGAGGAAAGUGGAAUUCCACGUGUAGCGGUGAAAUGCGUAGAUAUGUGGAGGAACACCAGUGGCGAAGGCGACUUUCUGGCCUGUAACUGACACUGAGGCGCGAAAGCGUGGGGAGCAAACAGGGAUCAGAUACCCUGGUAGUCCACGCCGUAAACGAUGAGUGCUAAGUGUUGGGGGGGUUUCCGCCCCCUCAGUGCUGCAGCUAACGCAUUAAGCACUCCGCCUGGGAGUACGGUCGCAAGACUG